GGGCACUUGUAUGUGGCUUGAUUGCUGCUGGUGCUGGUGCAAUGCUGGGACCUGACAUUGCUUCUGCUGCGUCUAAGAGACGGCCUCCGCCGCCUUCGCCGACGGAGGAGAAGAAAGACCCGAACGUUAGCGGCGUGCAGGCUAAGGUGCUUGCCAGCAAGAGGAGGAAGGAGGCCAUGAAGGAAGCUGUGGCCAAGUUGAGGGAGAAAGGGAAGCCUGUUGAUAAGUGAAGGGCAGAACCACAGAACAAGUAGCCUUUGGUUCCAGCCUGCUUUUUCUCCUCUCGUUCGCUGCUGGCCCUGCUGCUGUGCGUUUCUGCAUCAAUAAUUUCGUUGCACAAUUUUCCCAGUUUUUAUAAUUUUCA
rnacentral:lncRNA from 1 species